rnacentral:rRNA from 1 species
UACGUAGGGUGCAAGCGUUAAUCGGAAUUACUGGGCGUAAAGCGUGCGCAGGCGGUUUUGUAAGUCUGAUGUGAAAUCCCCGGGCUCAACCUGGGAAUUGCAUUUGAAACUGGCAAGCUAGAGUCUUGUAGAGGGGGGUAGAAUUCCACGUGUAGCAGUGAAAUGCGUAGAUAUGUGGAGGAACACCGAUGGCGAAGGCAGCCCCCUGGGUCAAGAUUGACGCUCAUGCACGAAAGCGUGGGGAGCAAACAGG